GGCGUUAGAGUAGGCGUGUCAAAAAGUUUUUUGGCAAAUCGAUGGAAAUUUAUAAUACUAAUAAAAAUAUGAAAAAAUAUCGAAACAUGUUUCAAAUGUGUUUGUGUGGCAGUUCUGAGUGUUAGAGUGAACAUGACACCAUAGCUCUUAUAGUUCCUUAGAUCUCGGAGUUCAUACCUCGGUCGGACAGACAGACGGACAGGGUCGGAUCGCCGAGGCGAGAUGCGGGUGAAUGAGGUGCUUGUCCACAAUAAAGACGACAAACCUCUCACCAGAUAAGCGGCAUGCGGCAAGUUUCGAGGAAGGUGCAAAAGGCGUGGGACCGCUUCAGGAUCAGAUGAUCGAAAAGCGUAGGGUAGGUAACACAGUUGGGCACGGAAGCCAGUGUCAUCGUGGUCGGGAAGUAAUGCAGGAAGCUCGUAGAAGCAGUAGGUGCUCCGGUUCGGCGAAUAUCGGUUCGUUAUUGGAAGCUUGGAUUGUCCUGUAGAAUUUGGAGGGAUAAGAAUCGAUUUUUGGCGAAAGGGAAGCCUUAUAGAUUGUCUGGAGUGUCUAACGUGACAUGCUGUUCCAUUGAGCUAUUCGAAGAAGCCCGAGUCUUCAACGAUCGACCCUAUCCCAUGUAUCCAGUGAAGCAAAAUGUCGUUAAGGAUAAAGUUGACAAGAUGCAAUCGCACGACAGUGUUGUCCAAACCAGGGAAGGUCAGGUUUUGUCUUGAUGCCCGCUAGCUGAAUGCUUUGACGGUGAAAGUAUCCUCUCUAUGAUAAACCAGACGCACAAUAUCUCCAGUGUGGAUCGCAAGUUUGCGUUCUGUCAAAUCGAAUGUUACGACAUGGAAUAGGAGACCGAUGUGUAAGUUCCGUAUGAUGCCAUUCGGAGCUGAGAUCCAACUUUUUUGUGUAUCUGGAUGAGCUUCUCGUUCUCCUGCCUCCCUAUUUCCAGACGCACUUGAAGUACCUCUUUCGCGUAGCCCAGAGCCUGAAUCUAGCUGGGCUAACAAUCAGCCUAAAAAUCCGAGUUUUGCUUAAAAGCAUUAACUUAAGCUCGGGUUUAUAGUUGGGGCGGAUUACUGCUAACGAAACCCGUGCGAGUGUCGGCCAUUCAGAGGAUACGAAAUCCGAGAUGGUAGCGGGAUGGUACCAUUUUAGCAUGGAAUAUCACAAGGGAAGCGAGAACAUUGUCACCGAUAGUGACACGAAGUCAAGAAAAAAAGAAAUAUCCUACCGGACCGCAAAGUCCACAACGGGCUUAUCUUCAAGCGCAGAGGAAAUCCAAGCCUGAGAGAGGAACUGAAAGAAGCGGAAGGGAACCUGUGAAUGACCUACAGCCUGGUAGAACGUGCUCACUUAGACCCCACGUUUGCCCAUGGUGGAAUGGCAAAGAAAGUGUAGAUACUGGGACGACACUUUUAUUGGACAGGUAUGACCAUCCAGGUGAGGGAUUUCGUUUUUUUUUUCUCAUUUUUUGAGGAGAUGGUAGAUAGGUUCGGAGUCCAACACAUCAAGACGGCGAUACACUCACCCCAAAGCAACGCAGCGAUGAGGGUAAAUCGAAAUGUGCUGGCGAUGUAGAGCUUUUUGGACAAGGAUCACAGAGAGUGGGAUACGCAUCUGUCGAGGAUCGAGGUGGCCAUACGAAAUACUGUCAGCCUCAGGAUAAGCAACGUUCUUCACUGUAUUCGGCCACCGCUAGCUAGAUAGCAAGACUAAGGUCUCUGCGCGACCAUAAAAAUAAAGGGAUGCAGGCGAAGGAUAAGAUCCGGGUCAUCCACGCCAAAGGCAGCGGAAGUUCUCCGGAGGAGCUUUGGGCUGAGUAAAUUCACACAAAGACUUCAACGCCAAGUUAGACCGUAAGUUCCUGAAAGCGAGGGCUGUAAUGGGCGUUGAGAAUAAUGCGUACUUACUGGGACACCUUCAAGAACGCAUGCUGGGAGUGUAUCACGCCAAUGACAUCCGGAUGUGAUCGGCAGAACGGAAGAAUAAAGUACUCAAUGUCAAGGACCCAAAAAAAUAUAAUUCCCGUACAGCGAGGGCCCCACGUAAAGCGCCGUUCGAACUGCCAAAGCUUCAUGUAGCGCUUCUCGAAAUCUUUGGUUGGUGCUACAGUUGGAGUCGAUUAUAGGGCCUUAUCGAUAAGUAGUUUUGGUGGAGCCAAAGGUUCGAUCCGGGAUUACUCUUAAAUCCAAAGCGGGAAUACGGCGGGGAUCAUGAAAUGCAAAUGCAAAUAAUCGGCGAACCAACAUAUAGGGCCCCGGAUAAAGUUGCACUGAAGUCGAAUAAUCUGAAGCCAAUAAUCUGCGGCAUCACCAGCAGAAUACCAUCCACAUCCCCAGAGCCCCAAGGCACUUUAAACCAAAGAUGCUCCAGCGGGACUCGUUCCUGAGAAUUUCGGAACCCUGACCCUGGUGAGUACGCAGCGGACAGUGCAGGGGUCUAGCGGACUAGACACAAGGCUGUCGUGCAAUGAACAUCUUGCGGAAACGAGCAGGAAGGCGGCGAUCCAUGUUUGAAAUACCUACCUUUGAAAUACACUCCUUACAUGGCUACUUUCCGUACUGACCCUAAGAUAAGCAAGCGCAGAAAUACUAAGGAAAAGAAAGGCUAAACGAACUUUAUCCCAUUUCGUUUUGAUCUUCGUUUCUCUAAAUCGCAACCAUGGGUGGAAGCAAUCCUAAUGGUCGUGCUACCUUUCAGAAUAACAUUUCAGGACUUGCCAACUGCACCUCACCUAACACCAAGACUGCGUUCCAGUUUCAACCGCCGUUAGCAUAUUUUUUAGUCUGAACAGAAUUGACUAAGCUUUGCGCCCGUAAAACACCUUCCCUGGUCAUCUAUUAUUCGGCUUGGUACUCCAAACAACGAAGCGGCCGAUU